GCCCGACCUCAUGUGCUGAAAAUGAGGGAUGAUAUUAAAUUCUAUAAUAAUAAAUCAAGCCAAUAAUCUAUUAGCAAAUGUAAUGUUUUAUGGAGUCAAAUGCAAUCCUUUACCAGAUAAUAUACACAAACACACACUAUAAGGACAAAGUGUUGGACCAAUUUAGCUCCUAUUAUUAGUCAGGGCUCACUUCAAAUAUGUUCUCAUCUGAUAACAAAGCAUAUUGGUUGAUCCCUUUAAACAAAUUUCUUACCAUCCAUCAUGAAGGAAUAAAAUCAAAAUCAUAUUUUCUUUCCUGCAUAGUAAAUUGAAGUAGAUGAGAGAAAGAGAAAGCAAGAGACAGGUCUGUGUAUCUGAUGCAAGCCUGUAUAUGCAUUCAAACAUCACGAUGACUUCAGUGAGGACUUGGGACUUUCCAUCUAAUAAUAAGAUCGACUGCAAUUACACAGGAAUUAAAUAUCCAUUUAGCUAAAGGCAGAAGAUAAAGGAAGUACCUUCUAACA
rnacentral:misc_RNA from 1 species